UCAAACCUCAACCAUCCAACUGCAAAUUCUCUAUGGUUGACACCGAAACAUCAGUUUCAGCUCCUUGUGACUUUUUUAGCUUUGCCACAAGGACCCACAUGUUGGCAAGUUCAUUUUCCAGGUAUGCUUCUCUUUUCUUUGACUCCUCAAUCUUUCUUUGAAGUUCGGCCUCUUUCUCAUCUUUCUCUAAAAGGGAAGCUUCAUAUGAAAGUUCCCUUUCUUUGCUCAAGGCUAAUUCUCUCUUGAUAUUGGCGUUUGAUGCACCCUGAUCAUUUCGUCUAACUCUAGCAUGACUUUCCCUUCGUCCAUUUUGGACUGUGCCACUAGUUCUACGUUCAGCGGGUGAAUUCUUGGAUGCAGCUAGCUCAGCAGCUAGUCUCUCGUUCUGGUUCAUGAAUUUGGCAACUUCUUCUGACAGUGCCUUAAGCUCAACAGCAGCAGCUGAAGCAAGCCCUUUAGCAUAGGAACUCUCUUCUGCCAAUUUCUGAUUUCUAAAUUCUAACUGCUCCUUUGAUUCUGUUAGUUCUGCCACUCUCUGCUUCAGAUCUUCUAUCUCACUUAUCUAAUUAAGAAGUGCACAACAUCAGUGGGAAUACUGACUUGACUAUAUACAAAAUAAUUGAUGCCAUUCGAAGAUGAUAACUUGACUAAAUGCAGAAUAGAUGACAGCUAGAAACAAUCAAACAGUUUAUUCUAGACAUUUCUUCUCUCAUAGGAAUGAUGAAGAUAUUAGUUUUCACUUUUCAAUUCGUAAAAUUUGAAACUUAAUCACUAUUUAAAAGGUUUCUUCACAAACUAAAAGCUCCCAAGGUAGAAAACAAACUCAAGUGGGAGUUAAGAGAUAUAAACCAAUUUCAGAUUACACUCCUUAUUUUCAAUAUUUUGUCAGAGAAAUAAAUAAGAAAUCGGUUACUUUCCUGAAUCAAAAUUGGAUAAAUUGAAUCACGAGUAGAUUCCAACCUUUUCAAACUAUAAGCAUGGUAGUGUAGACAGGCUGAGGUUUUGUAUGUAUACAUAUCUUGACCAUGAGAUCAUGCACGUAGCCGAAGAUGAGAACAUAAAGUCAAGAGGUAAUUUAAAGUAAUUUAUAAUCUUGAUUAUUCUGUGGUAGAUCCAACAGUUAAGAUUUGCUACCCUUGCAACUCAUAAGUCAUAACAGGAUAGUGCUCUCACUUGAAGUAAAUCUUUGCUCCGUGAUAAUGAAGUUAAAAAAAGUAGUUUGCAAUGAGUACUGUAUCAUUAGAACAUUAUAUGUAGCUUUUUAAGGGAAAUUGCUGGAAAAGUAAUCAGUGCCACAGGAAUGCAAGAUUAAGAAUUCUAAGAACAACCAACAAAGAUCACACAAGGUACCUGUGCUUGCAAUUGAAUCCCUUCAUUUGAAUUGUUUAUUGUCACAUUCCCCUUGUCAAGAUGAAGUUCACCACAAUAAUCUUUGGUUCCAGAGAAAUUUUGUGAAUGAUUGACUACAUGGCUGAAAUUUCUCAAGUCCAAUGCAUCAGCAAGUUGCUGUUUAAGAGAGGCAAUCGUUUCUUGCUGGCUUUCACAUUCACAAAUCUGAUAAUGCCAUUACUCACUUAGAUAAGAACACGACUAAAAGAACAAAAAGAAUUUCAAGUUUAAGCUAGGUAUUUCACCUUCUGAUUAAGCUGUUCUUGAAUUACACGGUUAUCUGCUGCUUUGACCUGAAUUAGCAUAACAAUGUGCAUUAGUUAAUCCUGGCUCAUAAAAAAAAAAACAACCUGAGUAAGGCCACAUGUUCAUGCACAGGUAGAAAUGUCAAUGCUACAUGAUCAUAUAGCACUACAGCUGUCUGGCAUGAUCAGAAGCAUGGCUUUAAAAAUAUUGACUACUUCAAAUAGUUGACGUAACUAUAAUGUAUCUUUUGUUCUGAUUGGAAAGUACUACAAUAUAAUUGUAUCUAAGAACUAAUGGAUUGACCUCCCAUAUGUUCCACAAAAAGACUACUGUAGGGUGCAACUUUCUAUUCAAUUCCAUUUGGACUUUCAGUCUAAGGCAAUGAUAUGUUAGCAAAUAAUAGCAAGGUGUAAAUAACUGUCACCUCAAGUUCAAAGGAUUUCUCGUUUAAUUGUGCCAUCAGCUCAGCAACAGUCUGUUGUACAAAUCAAGUAUUAGGUUGGACUAAAAACAAGUGAAAAAAGCAAUAAUGAUGCCUAGUGAACGUACCUGCAAUGCUCCUGAGUGUUCUGUCUUAUCUGAAGCAAUGAAAGAAUUAGAAAUUUGCUUUUCCAGCAAAUCUAUUUGUUCACUCUUUGCUGUAAUUUCAUCCUUCAACUUUUUCAUCUCCACCUUGGUAUGAAUUAAACAAAACUUUCAGCCAUGAUAGUCAGAAUUACAGCUUUAAUCACUCAAAUAAACACAUCAAUCAGUUAUGACUAAAAGGAGUUAGUAACCUACAUCAAUAUGACCAUUCUGAGGAUUUCUUGUUGCUUCGUCAGAUAGCCUCUUCAAAGCACUUGAAUGAAGUGCCACUUCUCCAGAUAAAAUCUUGUGCUGCUCCCUCAGAAGAUCAAUCUGAUCAACCGAUUUGAUGCUUGUCUAGAAAUUAAGAAAAUAAAUAAAAAAGCGACAUCUCAUAAGGUAAAAAUACAGAUAUCCACAUAAUAUACAGCCAUCACACAUCAUUGCCCAGAAUUUAACAGCCACAUAUCCACUAUAUUUCUUCAUCUUAAUAUCAUAGAUAUUUUCCCACAAAUAACAGUGGUUUCAUAGAUAUUUCUCAAACUGAUGGUAACCCAUGCCUACUAUUUUAGGUCAGAACACUGACACUUCAAUGAACAAGUAAAAUGAUCACCAGACGAAGUGUAAUAUUUGAAAACAAAAGGAGGUAACAACAGACCACAAACCAAAUAAACAAUGUUGGAAAUCGGGAUAAACUUUUCUCUGGUAAGAGAAGGACAUUUAUUCACUGAAAUGCACUUGAGGGUAACACGAGAGCCAAAAACUAUAUACAGUACUAGCACAAAUGAUGUCUUUUGUGGUGGUUUUCAAAGCAUUUAAGAGAGUUUUGACAUGACAAUCACUUUACUGGUAUUUGGAAAAACAUAUAUACGCUGCCUGGUGUUUUGUCCCAUUUAAUACUAGAGUGAAUAUCAAAUUUUCCAAAGGCUAGAAAUUGGCAUUUUUCACCAAAGCUACAGUAAGGAAAAAAAAACAGUCAAUUACGUACCAAAGGAGUCUCCUGUCCCAAUAAACUGUCCUCAUGAAUAUAUUUAUCCUCUCUUGCCUCUGAUGCAAGAUCAGCAGAGGGAGAGCUUUCUGCAGGUUGAGAAUGAGAAAGUCUGGACUCCACAUGAUUACCACUUUCUGCUUGAGGUGUGGAAGGUGUGCUAGUAGAUUUUGCUCCACUGGAUUUAUCACUAGUGCCAGUCAAGGCACUGUCUCGUUUCUGAUAAAAAUAGAGAAAGACACUAGUUUAAACAAAUAGAAAUUAACUUAUAAAAAGUGCCCCAGAUGAAAGGAUCCAUUAUACAACUUCGGUUAUAUAAGAUGUUAAACAAGGUACCUAAUCAAGCACACCCCAGAGGCCAGCAUGCAAAGUAAAUGAGUGUUACUUAAGCUAUAUGUGAUUAUAAACUUGUGAAAAGUAACUCGGUGUGACGAAUGCAUGGCCCAGAGAAAGCUUGAAAUUCCAAUUCUUAGAGAUGUAAAUGACACUAUUCUCUAAAGUUUCGAUAAAAAUAAAGGAAUAAUACCAACAAGUACAUAAAAAGCCAUUACUAAACCAGUUUGUUACAUUAUUUUAAAUAGGAGGGCAAACAGAUUAUUUUAUGUUCUUAUUGCUAAAAUACACGGGGUGGUCAAGAACUGGUGUAGCAGACAACAAAUAAGAGGACCAGUUACAUAAUUCUGAUAGGUUUAAACAAAAUGAAAGAAAAAGGAUCUGAAUCAAGCCUCGUAAUCAAAACAUGCAAGCUCUACAAGUUGAAAAUUAACAUGUUAUAUUUUCAACCAUGUUGUAAAAAUCCCAAUUCCCAAGCAUCAUCAAACAUCAAUGGAGUAAUGGACAACUUACACGUAACUUCAACCAAUUUAGUAAUCCAUGUUUCUUCAUCUUUUUCUCGCCCUUAAAAGAAUCAUCAGCUGUUGCAGCAUUUCCCUCCAGAUUAACAUACAAAUCAAUAUUUUCCUCGUCUAAGAUUAAAUCCCGCCUUUUGUAUGGAAGGUAUGCCAGCUGCAAACAUAAUCGAUAGUUAAAAAAUUAAAGAGAAUUGAAAGUAAUCUAAAAUCCUGGAAUUUAGAAGAAAAGGGGAGAAAAUUGGUGCAACAUGAGACAUACCUCCUCUUCCCCGAAGGAAUGUCUUCUACGAGGACCAGGUCUGUUAGGAAAUCUUGUGGACGAUGAUGCUGUUGUGGAGACCAAAAUCAACUUAGUCAACCGUUGAAUUCUGCCUAAUAAAGCAGCUUUAGCUUCUUCUUCUUGUUCCAAUCGGGAUUGCAACUUAACUUGACCAUCUUCUAACUUUAAAUAAUUAAAAUUGAGAACCAUUCAAGAUCAGAAUGCUAAUUACAUAAUGCUGAUGAAUUCAAUAUGCAGCAAAUUUACUUCACAGUAAUUAAGUAAACUCAUUUCCAAAUCCAUACAUUAUGCUUUUAGAAUUAAAAUAAAAUAAAAUUCCUUGGAUAUAUAUGCAGGGUUCACAUAGGUACUCCCACCAAAAACAGGAGUACAAUUCUACCUUUUUCUAAAAUUAUAUAUUUUAUACUAAAUGUUACAGAAUAAAGUAAUAAAAGUUACAGACUUCAGUAAUUGAAGUUAAAGGUUUUUAUUGCUUAGUUUGUAACUUUUAUUACUCAACUUGUAAUUUUAAUUAAUCAAUAAGUACUUUUGAAAAAGUAAUACAGCACUACCUACUGCAGAGGGAGUACUGUAGUGAAUCCUGGUUUAUGAUCAACUUCUAGGAAAGAAUAGAAAUAUUCACCUUUUGAAAUCCUAUAUAUAUAUAUAUGGGAGGGGAUCCACUUACUCCAAGAGUAACUCUUUUAUAGUUACUUCUCAUCCUCACCGUUUAUUUUCUUAAGAUCUAAUUAUUGUAAUAAGUAACUUCUCUUAACCAUUAGAUCUCAAGAAAAUGAAUGGUGAGGAUGAAGAGUAAUUAUAAAAGAGUUACUCUUGGAGUAAGUGAAUCCCUCCUCUUUCUCUAUAUAUAUGUAUGUAUGGGGAAAAGGAUCAACUUUCUCUAGGAGUAAUUUUUUGGCACUUAAUAAUUUGAUAUAAAUUUAAAAUUUGCAAAUUCAACCAAUUAAUCUUGUGAUAUUAUCUUGAUGGUCAUGCAUGUCAAAGUUUAGAUAAUUUCACAUUCAUAGCUAUAUGUUUUACAUCCAACUUUUACUUUUAUUCUGAAAAAUAUUUAUAUGUUAAAAUAAAGUUGAUUGAUGAAACAUAAAAUAAUUUUAAAAUUGUAUAGAAUACUUGAUCUGCUUAAUGUGUCUAACCAGAAGUUGGAUGAAUGAAAUUCAAUGUUUAUAAAACGUUAUUAAAUGGAGUAAGUUAAACAAGAGUCACCCUUAGACUAAGUCGACCCCUUACCUAUAUAUAGAAAGAACAUAUCAUCGAUAACUCUUCUAUCAUAAGAAAUAAGGAGUACACAUAUAUGUCAUUAAUGGUCAAGAUUAAAAGAAAAAUGUACAUGACUUUGUUAAGUGGACAUGUGACUAUUAAUUAACUUUUAAUCUUGACCAUCCAUGUAUAAUUGUUUGAUCCAAAUUUAUAGUUUUCAUUUCUCAAAAUAAAAAGAGUUCUCACUUGAGACAGACUACUAACAAUCAAAUAAAAUAAAAGGCCGUGAUUUAUAUAUAACAUUACCUACCUUCUGUUUUAGGAGCUCAAUGUCAUCAUCCUCGGUAUCUUUUGGUUGAACUGUGACAAUACCCCUCUUUAAUUUUUCCAGUUCUUCCUUUAAGCAUUGAAUCUCUUGUUGGUAUUUCUUGAUAAGUGAUUUCUCAUCAAUUAUCUGCAGGUUUAGUUCAAAUUUUAAAAAUAAAAUAAAAUAAUGAGAGAACAGAAAGGAUGUGAUUAUCUAUAAGAAAAGGGGUUCCAGAAAAGAAAAGCAGUAGAACUUCUUAAGAAACAAUAGAGAUAGAGCACUGAAGUGAAGUCAAGAGCACCAUCUAGUUUCCAAAUUACACAAAAAUAUGUCACUGAAUUUUUAAAGAUUUGAACACUUACUACUGCAUAUAUAGAAAAUCCAUUAGAAUGUACAGAAGAUAUCUAAUAAUAUCUUUGAUUAUAUCUUUUGAGUAAUAUAGAGUAUCUUAGAUUAUCUCCUAGAAUUAGUUUCCAUAUUUUCUCAUCAUCUCUUACAAUUGGUUUCCUCAUUUCUUUAUUAUCUUGUGAUGCGUCCUUAUUUAGUUAGGAUUAUAAUCAAGUAUUAGUAUAAAUAACGUGUUGGAAAGUUGCUUUAACCGAGGUCACCCCGCCUUAAUUGCGGCCCAUCAGAGUUGGUUUUCAGUAUAUCGAAAAGGGACUACCUAUGGAGGGACUAACUAGAAAGGUUGAGUGAAGUGUCUUAGAGUAGCAGCUGAGAUGUCAGCUCUCAGGGUUUUGAGAUCCCACUCAACUAGAGAUAUGGCCAAUCUAUGUUGGGUAAUUAACAUUCCCUCAAAUAAAAUUAGUCACACCCACAAAAGAUCAUUAGAACACAACAAAAAUUAUACUGUAGGAAAAAUAAUAACAAACAUAAGAAUUUAACGUGUUUCAGCACCUUUUGCUUGCGUCCACGGAAUCCUUUCAAAAAAUAUUUCACUAUCACAAAAAUGAUUACAAGAUUGUAACCCGCCCCAAAUAGUGUAUCACUCAACAAACCCGAGUACCCCACUCAAUGGUUACAAGAAAUGAUAGGACUUUCACACAAAGACACUUUUCUCUCAACAAAGAGACUUUGUUUCACAAUCUCUCUUUUUACACACUCUCUUCAUGUGUUAUUUCUCCACUUAUUCUCUUAUCUAUUUAUAGUGAAUAUUGCCACCAACUAUAAUAAAUAAGUUCUCUUAAAAGUUGAAACAAAAACAACUUCCAAUGCAUCCAUUCAAAUAAGCUUUAUCUAGUAAAAUGCAAUCUUCCACUUUGCAUUUAAACUACCUAAACCUUAGUGACAAAAAUUCAAUUCUCACUAUGCAUGCACCUUAUCUUUUGGCUUGGAACUCUAUAAUUUAGUCCUAAUAAAGCUUGGGCAGAACUCAACUUACAAAACAAUUUUGUGGGAUUGAGUUAGGACCGCCCAUACAUUGAUAAGGGGUAGUGCUUUAUGAUUUCACCUUGUAACUCAUCACAAUAUUAUACAUAAUCUCUAUUCUCUCAUCUUUCUCCUUCAAUACCUAAAACCCUAUAGUUUCAGCAUUCCCAAUUGCCUUCUAAAUCGGGGUUCUUAGAAAUUCUUCCAAUGCAAUAAAAAGAAAACCAUUCAAAACAUCUCGCAUUCUCUUCCAUUAAAAAUUUGAGAGAUAAACAUACCCCAGAAUUGCACGUGGAGUUGGUAAGAAUUUUGAUGCUAAACGAGAAAGUGGUGAUGAAUGUCAGAAAUUUCUAUACUUAUGCAGAAGAAAGAUUAGGAGCUGUUUAUUGUUCUUUGUAUUGUGUGCAGGCUGUAGAUUGUCAUUUGGUAGGAAUAUAAUUCUGAUUCAACCAAAAAAAAAAAAAUCAUCAAAUUUAACUUACCUUGUUUUGUGCUGCUCGUAUUUCAAUGUACUUUGCCCGGUGAGCAAACUUCAAUGUAUUAUGUGUCUCUUCAGUACUACUAGAUGAAGGGGUUACUGUGCAAAUAAGCUGUAUUUAAAAUGACAAUAAGCUAUUAGAAUUGCUGGUUUAUGUUUAAGCAUUUCUACCACAAAGAUAUGUAUAACGAAAUCUAUUCACAAAUAAAUAAAUGCAUGUAUGUGAAAAUAUCUACACAAGGGAAGCCUUACAGAAACACGUCCAUGACCACUGAGCGAAGACUGAAGAACUCUAGUCAAUUUGGAAUCCCUGUAAGGUAUGUGACUAGCUUUAUCUUCAGUCAAUUUUGAAAUAACCUGUGGAACAAAUAUAAUUACAAUUCAACACAGGCAUAAACACACAUGUCCAAUGAAUAUAACAGCAUCCAGUGAACUAUCCAUGCUUGGAAACCAUUUUACAUCAAUGUACCAUCAUUCUAUCAAUAACAGUGGAAACACAACUGGUUGCUGAACAUCUCAUGAAGAAGAACUGAAAACAUUCUAAAAUAAAUCAAGGUAACCAUUGCAAAACAAACAUAUCCUAAGAGAAAACUCAUAAAAGAAAGAGAAGGCCAAAAGCUUAGAAUACAAAAAAGGAAGUCCAUGGAGCAAGUAAAGAGAUCAAUGAUCAUACAGGUUUGAGUUGUGAGGGAAGACAAAUAAACAGUUUUAUAGUACAUUCUAACAUACAAUGAAAAGAAAAGGUUAGAGACCUCACAGUUCCAAGAGUUAGAAGACUUUUAUUGAUAUAAGAUCCUUCUCUCCUUCUCAUACCAGUUGUUUCAGCUUUUGAGCUCUCAGAACCUGCUAGAUCGAUGAGAUUCUGCAAGUUUAAGUAAAAUAUUAAAAAAUGUAAGAAAAAAAAGAAAAAUAUAAAACAUGAACACGUAAUCAUCAUCCAUUCCAUGUUAAAGAAAAUGAAAUUCAACCAAAAAGGUUUAGUUACCAGUUGUGACAGUGUUACUGCUUCUCCUUCACUAUUUUCACCACAUGGACUACUCUCUAUAGUCUGUUACAAAGUGGUAUGAAAUUAAAAAGAAUAAAAGAACAUCAUAUAUGUAAAAGCAAUUGAACGAUAUAGCUAACAUCUUGGUGUUCCAUUUUCUUGUUCCUGGACUGCUUAAGGUCCAGAUUGUUAUUAUUGAUGAUCUAGCUGAAUAUUUAGAAUACAGUUUUAAUAACUACCCCCACCUCCCAGCAGGCAUUCCUUAUUCUAGGAAAGAUAAAACAAUAUUAAGGUGCAUUCUCAUCAUGAAGUUUUGGGUUGGAUGAUGCUCUGUUUUUAUUCAUGAGUUUUCCCAUGGUAAUUCAUUUGUUGGUUACCGGGAUAAAUUACCAACUGCAUAGCUACAUUAUCUGCUUAUUACAUUUAAGUUCUCUAAAGUAACUGAUUAAACAUAAACAUCGAUUUAAUUAGUACAUAAUAUUAAAGAACCAUGUUGUUAAACAAUUAAAACAAUAUAAUUCUUCCUUUAAGAUGGUAUAAACCCACCAGCGUAAAUAUUGUAUGGCUCCUGCUGCUGAGUAGGUUGAAGUUUGUAGACCCAACAUGUCUGUGCUCUGUUAUCAAAUCAAAGUUUUGUCAAGAAUAAAGAAAGGGACACAUUAAAUAACAAAACAGUAGGGCAUCAAGUAGAAUUGUAGAAGAACCCAAUUCUUAUGAUCAUUCACAGGACCAAUAAACAGUUUUAUUUAGUUUUUUAUUUUUUAAGAAAUAGCCCAUAAACACUAUAUGAAACUACAUUUUGAGAAUACAAGAUUAAAUUUGUCAAAUAAUACACCUAUUUUAAUGCCUAAGCAUAACCUAUUUCCCAAAAGAAAGAAGCCCAACAAAGAAUAUUAUGGAGAUGAGUGAGAUGGUUUGUUUUCUUCUUCACUCUUUAUAUAAAUACUCAAUUUUAAAAGUACAUAAAAACAUCAAUAGUUAAUUACAGAAGACGCAAAAAUAAAAGCAUAAAACAUAACAGCCCACGUUAUUAUGGUACACAAAGACCAGAAAACUAAAAUAAUCCACAAGAAAACAAAACUAGCUGGAACUUAUACCUUCUCCAGCUGCAAUAAGGGACAGUGCAUGAGCAGGGGAGAGUACAACCUCUUCCUUUAUUCCCUCAACAUAGGUGCCCUACAUAUGAAUCAAUAUACACAUGAUACAGGCCUUCUUCAAGAUACUUCUGUUCAUAGAACUUUGAAUAAGUAUUUCAACAACUAUACAUCUGACUUUUGUUAAUAUGGUGAUGGCUUCGAUUGUUAGUAUUAUACAUUCUAUAUAAAGAAAGAACAAGAAAAAAUUUUAUGCAUCAAAAUACUCAAAACUGUUUGAAACAGUGUCUGACAAACAAUUUUGUUAUUUAUUAUACAAAACAAAAUUACCAUUUUGCCUCUAGAUUUAAGUUUUAGCUUUCACUAGGUUUGACAACAAAAGGUUCAUUUCUCUAAAACUCAUCUCACUAGUGUUUUAAAACAGUAAAAUCCAAGAAUUGUUAAUAAUCACUUAUUAAAGAAGCCAGAGUGAAUCAUCAUCUAUAAACCAAAAUUUGCUUUUAUGCAUCAAAUGGUUAUUUGGCUCAAUUAGCUGGGACAUGUACUAGCCAAGGGACUUCUGAUGAAAACGCUUUCAAGAUAUAUCAGCAAGCUGAAAAUGAUAGAUAUCCAUUCACCAGUUUGAAGGAGAGUAUUAGUAAGUGUAAUUAUGUGUAGAAUAUUUCCUUAUUCAUUGUAAUUAGGAUUAAUUUUUCUAACUUCCUUCUUAAUAUUGUUAUUUAAGAUUUUUGGCCUAAAAUCUUUAGGUUAGCAUUUAUUUUCCUGUCUAUAUUGUAUGUACUGCUAUAGCUUAAAAAAUACUAUACAAUUUCAGUUCUCUUUUCAAGUAUGAAUCAAUCAUAGAUUUUCACCAAAAAAAAAAAGAAUCAAUCAUAAAAAUUCGGAUCAGAGAAUCUUUCCUCUUAAUUUAGUGAUAUAGAGAUAAAUAUAUAGGAAGAAAGAUAAGAAAACUAUGAUCAGUACCUGAGCAUCCUCUCUGAUUCUUAAGUUCUGUCCUGCUGGAUUUAAUAAGUCAUUAACCACCUAAAAUAAAAAGGAAGCUUUGAGCAUAACACUCCGAGGAACAAAGAAGCAUUAACUAAAUUUAUUUUCAGGCAAAGUCCUGAGGGAAAUAGCUAUGUCAAUGGAAGACAAUCCGUGUGAACAUAUCAUUACAAGAAAUGAGCUAGAUAGCAAGAAAGCCCACCUCAUUGUAGAUCUCCAAGUAUGAAACUCGAAGGAGAAACUCUCGGUUUGGAGUCUGGUAUGCAGAAGAAUCAGACUAUGUAAUCUCCAUAAUACAAAGUUCAACAUAGAGAGUGGUAUUUGACAUACCUCUUGGAUAAUGCUAAAAACAUCCUUCACGGAAAGGGGUAUGAUUCCAGGAGAUCUUUGAUCACCCUGAAAAUAUGAACAUAUGAGCAAGAGGUAUGAUACGAAUUUAUGAGCUAUAGUGUCACAUCAACUAAUCCAAAUUCGUACCAGAACUCAACAUCAUCAGUAUGACAGUUAAUUGAGUCAUAACCUGUCAUGCUAUAUUUUCACACAAAAUCUUAUAGCAACCCAUGAAAAAUUAGUCUGAAAAUAUAUUCCAAAAACAGAGUACAAUUCCAACUAGGUACCAGCAAAUCAACCUUGAUAAUGCACGACUACAAGAAUUUUCAAAUAAAACAAGGAGUAGAAUAUAGGCUAGCAGCAAAGAGAAAGGAAUGGAGUCUUUGAAGUUAUAAUAUAUCCAGGAUCCACUAGCAAGUUUUAACAGGUUUAAAUUAGAGUGACCCAUUAAUGUGAACAGUUUUAAAGUAAUAAAAUCCUAAUGAUCAGAAAGAGGUUAUGUUAUCCUGUAAUUUCAUAUACUUGAUAAGAUACCAAGCUAAGAGUUGUAGCUGCUGCUGAAACCAAAUAUAGUUGCAAAUUUGUUGAGAUAGUUCAUCAUGGGACUCAAUGUACAAGUCCAGAAAAACCAAGAAGCUCAACAAAGAGAAACAACCUCAAGUUACCAACCCAUCAAUAAUAUAUCAGAAUAAAAAAUGGCAAGUAUCACAAUGGUCAGCAAUUGCUCUUUUGUGAUUUGAGUGUGGUUUAAAGACUUAAGUAGAAUGCAUUGAAAGACCAUAAAAAACAUGAAUAUGUAUUUAUCAUAAACAUGCAGAUCAACAAGAUGAAGGCAGAAAAUAACUGUGGUCUCACAUGCAUUGUAUGAGUCUUCCCACUGCUUGUUACCCCAUAUGCAAAUACUGUACCUGUAUGAAAAACAGAGGAGUUUGUAUGCUAAUUACUCAACUUAAUAAGACAGGAAUGCAAGUGAAAACAAUCUAGAAGUUACUGGACCACAUUCUUCUCUAUGCGCAGUUACUUUUAACUGAAAUGGUCGACUUCAAGAAGAAACGAGUAAAAAAUAAAUAGGUUUCAAUAUCAAGGAAAUUGCAUGACUACAGCCCAUAUGAGAAAUGUGAUGUGAGUCACAAUAUUUCCAUGAUAAGUCAUCAAGAUAAUUCAGUUUCUUUUCUCAUGAAUUCUCCCAAGGUCCGGCCCUACUGGUUAUUUCGUUGCAUGCAAAGGAAAAUGUGCAAACUGAUUUCUAUGGUGUCAAACUCAAAUCUCAAAUCUCAAACUUCUAGGGGGUUACAUCAUGAUCUGGCUACCAACAUAAGAUGACAUAGUUCACAAUCUUAUUUUAUCUUAUAAGAGGAGUGAUCAAGAAAGCCAAAUGAUAUGGCAUUUAUACAAAAGGAUCAAAAUUAUAUGGAUGCUAAUGGCAUUUCAGUCCCUCAGAAAUUUUCAAAAAGGCCUUUGAUACCAUUUUUGUGGAAUCAUAUCUGAUUUUGGCAUUCAUGUUCAACAAGAUAUGGAUAUCUUUGACUAAAAAUCCAUUGCUCAUAAAAUCUUUUAAUGCAGCUCUACCAAAGUGAAAAUAACAACUUUAAUUUUAAAUGAGCAUCAGUAUCUAGCUAAGAGCUCACAUCAAAAUACACUAAAUCAUAAUACAAAUACCUAAUUACUUAACAUAUGACCAAGAUUAAAUAUUAUUUCAAAUCUAAUAAUACAUCCAAAAUGUGAUCUGUAUUAUAUUAAGGACAAUGAAAGGAUGACUUGACUAAAGGAAGAAUAGAUUCUGUUCCUUGACCAUGCUAAAUAAGUGGUAAGUAGUAAGUUCAAUAUGUUAAUUACCAUUGAUGCCCUCCAUAGCCCCACUAACAACAUGCUGAGCAGCAACAUCAUAGCCCUGACGAGUUGGGGUUGGGGGACCAAAGCCCCGAUCUAGAAACAAAUAAAAAAAUUAAUAAUUCAAUGCCCAACAUUGGCAAAUGAGAGAUAGGGGGGGUGGGGGGGGGGGACUGUUUAUUGAGAAUAAAAUGUACAUUAAAUGAUGAUCUAUUGGAUUUGCCAAAAAUGUACAAUUUCGUAACAUUUGAAAUCUUUUUAUCUCAAAUAGGAUGAUGACAUCUUUGUGAAUAUCAUUACUCUGCCUAUGUCAUGAACACUAGGAGAAACUAUCAAUAAAGAUCUUGGACUAAAUAGUUUUAGGGAAAUUUUGGGUUUUGUUAGGUAGAACCCAAUGGCUCACAUUGAUCCUUAUAAUUAGUACAAUACAGAAAUUGUUAUUGGUUUUGUUGUUCGCUUCAAAAUUAAUGUAAUAAAUAAUAGGUUGGCCAGAACUAAUAUAAAGAAUUAAAUCCUGAAUUCUUUUGCUAAUUUGGUUGGAUGCCAACUGUCAAGUCCUCAAAUGGCCUUUUCUCAAUACAGUGUCCUAUGUUAAGACUCUCAAUCGGUUUCUUUUUGGUGCCCUGUAUCCAAAAUAUCUGUGAAAAUGGAACAGGAAAGGCACAUUUUUUCCCAUUAGGUCAGAUUAUGCUGAUUCUUCAGGCUUGUUUGUCUAGCAUCUGUCUUUAAUAAAGUCCAGUGCAGAUUGUUUGAAGUGAGUGUGGUUCAUGUAUGACAUGCUAAAACGCAUUUUAUGUUCAAGGGUACUAGUGUCUAGGAAGUUGAAUCACUUAUUAUAAUCCAAAGGAAUAGUCUCCAUUAAGUCUAUCAAGAGUCUAUAUAUAUUGAUGAUAUGCAGAACGACCAGAACCUAUGUACUGCUAAUACAUUCUCUUGAAUAAGAAUAAGAAAGCAUUCUCAUUCCCUAAAUUCUCUGUAGAUUGUCUUUCUUGCUUCAAUCCCCCAUCCUUGAUUUUGAUAUUAAUUAAGGCACCAACAUUUCUUCAAUUUCCCAUUUCUCUAGGAUUAUGAGAGACACGGAUACUUCCGAACAGAAGUAUAUUUUAGUUUUUCUUUUAGAUCCUCCUUCCAAUUUCUCAAUUCUCAUUCAUUUUACAAACACAGAAAAUUUCCUUCUUGAGAAACUGUUUUGAAACCAAAACUUUGUAAAAGGUCAAACCUUUCAUUUCAGCAGCUGCCUCAACAAGAUUAAUACUAAUGGUAUGCAGCACUGUAGGCCCAUAUACGUAAUGGCUAAUCACCUAUUUUCUAAUUCAGGAACAGUUGCACAUUUUUAGCAGCUACAUUUAGAGGGACUCUUACUUUUGGACUAUAUAGUGAUCCCUUGGCUAUCUCGAAACUUGGAGCAUUUUCUGAUGAUUAAUUUGAGAGGUUUCAGCAGUAGCAAGGAGGGAAAAGUUAGUUGGAACUGCAGAGAGAUACACUCAGAGUACUUUGGUCUUGGUACCUUUGGUUAGGAAGGGCAGCUCAGAUUUGCAAAAGAAUGCGUCAAGUUAUGCUUUGGGACAUUUUUUUUUUAUUUGGCUCCUCUUGGGUGAUCAGAACAUGGAUUUAUUCAUAGAUUUACAGAAGGAUGGGAGAUCUAUUUUG
rnacentral:lncRNA from 1 species